AUUUAUAUAGUUUAAAUCUAAAACAAUACAUUUUCAUUGUAUAAAUAAUAUAAUUAUAUUUAUAAAUA
rnacentral:tRNA from 1 species